rnacentral:rRNA from 1 species
UCCUGACACAGGGAGGUAGUGACAAGAAAUAACAAUACAGGGCUACUUCUAGUCUUGUAAUUGGAAUGAGUACAACUUACAUCUCUUCACGAGGAUCAAUUGGAGGGCAAGUCUGGUGCCAGCAGCCGCGGUAAUUCCAGCUCCAAUAGCGUAUAUUAAAGUUGUUGCAGUUAAAAAGCUCGUAGUCGGAUUUCGGGUCGGGCCGAGCGGUCUGCCGAUGGGUAUGCACUGUUCGGCGCGGCCUUCUUUCCGGAGACCGCGGCUACUCUUAACUGAGCGGGCGUGGGAGACGGAUCGUUUACUUUGAAAAAAUCAGAGUGUUUCAAGCAGGCAGCUCGCUCUUGCAUGGAUUAGCAUGGGAUAAUGAAAUAGGACUCUGGUGCUAUUUUGUUGGUUUCGAACACCGGAGUAAUGAUUAACAGGGACAGUCA